rnacentral:tRNA from 1 species
UGUAACAUAGCUCAACGGUCAGAGCACCCGGCUUAUAUCCGGUUGGUUCUCGGUUCGAAUCCGAGUGUUACGA